ensembl:lncRNA
GAAAUGUCUAUGCCAUGGCGGCGGAAAUAGAAUCUAAGUACUUGGGAUUUUUUUUUCAAGGUUACCUAAAUUUACAGAAAAGGAUGUGGUGGGAACUUGGUGGGGUGUAGAAGAGAAAGUCCUCGAUAUUUCUAGAAGCAGAGAUCUGGAAGGAAGUUCUACCGUGCUUUAAAAGCCUUCUAAAACAUCUCCAGUUACUGCACUAGGGCUGGUACAAGCCAAACAAGAAAGGCUAUAAAAACAGGCUGAAGGUGCAUCGCAUCCCUGAAUCCAGAGGACCAAGCUCUUCAAAGAUUAAGAAUCAAGUUCAGUACUCAGAAGGCAAAGCAGUGGGUGGCCUUUGCUCCGGAAACACCAGACUUCUAUUUGAGCCAUGCCUUGAAUUUCCUGUAAAUGCAUUUCUGUAGAUUUAUCUCCCACCAUCCUGACACACGGCGGAUCGCAACAGUGAACCAAGUCCCUGAAAGGGGCAGUGAAUUCCCACAAAGGCUCCUCUUGAAAGCCUGAACCCAUUACGGAAGCCCAGCAAACUUCGCUGGCCUCCAGGUCCACCAAAGAUAUACCGUACGGAAGACCAAAUGAAGGAGCCUCACAGACUCGGUUGCUCAAGCAUGCAGAGGAGAGUGGCGUGGUUCAUCCACUCUCAUAUCAGUCAGAGGUCUAGACUUUCUCCCUUCCUUCCUCUUGAUUCCACAGAGGACGCAUCAGCAAAACAGGACUGGCGCUUAGGCUCCAAGACGACUUUCAUAUACGUGCACAGAGAGGGAUUCCUCCUAGCCACUGUCUACCAGUCACUGGGGACAGGCCAAGAGAACAAGAUGAACUCUUAGCUCCUCCUGCACCGUGCCUGCCUGGAUGCUGCCAUGUUCCCACCUUGAUGCUAAUGGACUGAACCUCUGAACCUCUAGCCAAGAUGCUGCAAGAUACAUAAUGGUGGAUUGUUGUCAUGGCAACUGCUCUACAACCACACGAUCUCUAUGGCAACCCAAGCUCCCUGGAAUACAAAUGAAACUCCAUAGCAACAGAGAGUCAAAGAGGUGAUAUCUGGAGACCGAGAAGCUC